AGGAAGUAGACCUGGAAGAAGGCAGUGGGCUGAUGUUGUCAGAAGAAAAAGUAAUUGAGAAGUAGUAUCAUCUAGUGAAAAUCAAUUCCAUUCUGACGGUGACCAAAAACAGGAGGUGCUCUAUCAACAUUUGUCAAGUAAAUGAAUGAAUGGCCACUGGACUGCAGGUUCAGAGAAGGAGAAGAGAAAGGGACAAUGGUGAGACUGGCUGGAACAGAACCUUUGCUUUUCUUCCUGAAGAAGAACAGAAUAUCAGACAGAAGAUGAAUCUUAGAGAUUAUCCAAUGCAGCCCUCCUGGCUUCAGAAGAAACAUUUACUGAGUAUCUUAGGGUAUAGGCACAAGAAGAACAUACGCUGCAGUGUCAGAGUGUGGUUUGAAUCUUUGCUUUUUUACUUACAAAUG